GAUUUCUAUUUGUUCCAAUAAUAAGAAGAACCUGGCAUGGGAAGCACUGAACUUUUGUGCCUACUUCAGACUGAACUUAGAUCCAGGGGCAAGGUUAACGUAUAAAUCAUCCCAGACCUUUUGUUAGAUUAGUACAACUAAUACUUGACAUUAAGACAAGACCUUAGAUUUGCAUGUACAUAUGAUACAUUUUUGUAAGCUGUCCCAGGGCAGGUGCAAAACUCACAGCCUCUGGAAAAGAGGUGGAAAGUGUCUUCCUGUGUCCUCCUCUCUCCUGCGUUGCUCUGGCGGUUUGAAAGACUUUGGGACUAACUCAGCAGACCCUGAGUCUGAUUUGUAGAGCCACCACUGCCUCUGAGCCACAUGCUGACUUCCUGCUGCCCGCCUACACACUCCUAACUUCAGCUGUGUUCUUGGCAUCACUUGCAAUGCAUCUGCUUGCCUCAGAGCCAGCACCAGAAAGAAGCUGCUGUUGAGCUCGACUCUGUUAGGUGGGUGCUACAGAGUGAGACUUUUUUACUGAAGGUGUGAAAAGUCUUUUAGGGUUUUUUCAUAGAUGUACUUAAAUUUAUGUCAGAUCCUAUUUGACUUGACAAACUUUAUUUUCCUGUAAAUUUCUACAUUUUUUAAGAAUGGGAAAUCAAUUACUUUUAAGCAUUUCACAGUACAAAUGGAAGGACAUAUUAUGUAUUAGGCAUCUUCCACAAAAAAAGUUUCCUAUUUCAGAUAUUGAAACUAUCUAAAACUAUGUCUAUUUCUGAAAACAAAAAAAAUACUUAUUUUCCCAUUUGACAGUCUUUGUCCAUAACUUCAUCAUUUUCGUGUCUUUUUUUUUUUUUCUUUUCUGAAAGGCAAUACAAAACUAAUGACAUUCACAUCAGCAUUCCGUGCAUGGCAGAGGAUGUAUGAAAAUGGUUUUUAUCCAUCCACUAAUUCAUCCAAACCCUUUUGCCUAUAGAGUAAGAAGCUUUAAUAAGAAGUUUGCAAACCCUUGAAGCUAUAGCUCAGGCAAAACCUUUCUACUGUUUGCUGGAGCCAUGCAGACAAAAUUGAAAGAAAGCUGUGCUUAAAGCAUUUGUAAAGCUUUUGCUGCCUCUGCUUUACCUGCACUUUAACAACAGUCAGCUGCCUUGAAGUCAGGGGAUCUUCUCUGAGGAUGGAUUCUCUUCUUUAAUUUCAAUUCUCAAACACAAACAAAACCCAAAACAAAACAAAACAAAAACACUAAAAACCUCCCAAAAACAAAGCCCAAAAAAACGUUGCUGCAUCACAGCUGACCUGUGUGAAGAGCCGUUUAAGUCUGGUGCUUUAAAAACAGGAAGACGAACAAGAACAGAAAUAUUCUAGAAAUCUUGUCAUUGCCUACCCAUCCAUGAAUGGGUGAGACAAGAAGGACAGAAAGUGAAGCUUCUGUGCUGCACAAAAGACACUGAUAGUCAUCUUUGUGAAGUUUGCACUUUGCCUCUCAUUUCCCAUAGCCCCAGCUGGGUGCUCUCAGCGUGGCAUUGGUGAAUGCCACAGCAACACAGCAGAGUAAUAGUGAGAAAGGAGCUACCAGGGAAAAAUGGUCAAAAUCAGUUUGCAAAUUAUGUGGUGAGUGCAGAGGGUGACCUGGAGGUGGGGGGUUCACAGGAAAAGGCCGAUU
ensembl:lncRNA